GAUUGGUAAAGGGCAGAGAGCUCCAGUCCGACUCAGGCGCCAGCAAGGUGGAGGUGGAGUACUGGUUUGGGCUGGUAUCAUCAAAGAUGAGCUUGUGGGGCCUUUUCGGGUUGAGGAUGAGUCAAGCUCAACUCCCAGUCCUACUGCCAGUUCCUGGAAGACACCUUCUUCAAGCAGUGGUACAGGAAGAAGUCUGCAUCCUUCAAGAAAAACAUGAUUUUCAUGCAGGACAAUGCUCCAUCACACGCGUCCAAGUACUCCACAGCAUGGCUGGCAAGAAAGGGUAUAAAAGAAAGAAAAUCUAAUGACAUGGCCUCCUUGUUCACCUGAUCUGAACCCCAUUGAGAACCUGUGAUCCAUCAUCAAAUGUGAGAUUUACAAGGUGGGAAAACAGUACACCUCUCUGAACAGUGUCUGGGAGGCUGUGGUUGCUGCUGCACGCAAUGUUGAUGGUGAACAGAUCAAAACACUGACAGAAUCCAUGGAUGGCAGGCUUUUGAGUGUCCUUUCAAAGAAAGGUGGCUAUAUUGGUCACUGAUUUGUUUUUGUUUUGUUUUUGAAUGUCAGAAAUGUAUAUUUGUGAAUGUUGAGAUGUU
rnacentral:lncRNA from 1 species